CCUACGGGAGGCAGCAGUAGGGAAUUUUCGGCAAUGGGGGGAACCCUGACCGAGCAACGCCGCGUGAACGCAGCAGUUAUUCGUAAUGUCACGUUCUUUUAACCUUGAAGAAAGAGAAAUUUGACGGUACCUGAAGAAUAAGCUCCGGCUAACUACGUGCCAGCAGCCGCGGUAAGACGUAGGGAGCGAGCGGUAUCCGGAAUUAUUGGCCGUAAAGGGUGCGUAGAUGGCAUAGUAAGUCUUUUGUAAAAAUGCUGGUCUCAACCCGGGAGGGCAAAAGAUACUGCAAGGCUAGAGUAUGACAGAGGCAAGUGGAACUAAAUGUGUAGCGGUAAAAUGCGUAAAUAUAUGUAAGAACACCAGUGGCGAAGGCGGCUUGCUGGGUCGAUACUGACAUUGAGGCACGAAAGCGUGGGGAGCAAACAGGAUUAGAGAACCUAGUAGUC
rnacentral:rRNA from 1 species